CAGUGGUUCUCGGAGCAGCUAAUUAUUCCACUCUGCUUCCACCCAAUUCAUUCAUCGACGCUCGGAGGUUCUCGCCCGUACAGCUAGCGACUUUGCUCCGCCGUCUGUCGCAGUCGCCAAAGGAGUACCAGAAGUACCACGAGUGGCGCCAGCAUUACCACGUAUCCCUGUGGGGGGGACAAAGAACCUUAUGCCACCUAUGCGUCCGCCUGCACGACCCCAGCUUCUACAGCACCCAUGUCGUCCACGAUUUCCAGCGUUGGUUUGUUAAUGAAUCUCAGUGCGGGUGGAAGUAACAGAGCGCCAGGUUGCUUUGUCGAUUUUUUGACGGAUUACAUUCUUAGCGCAGGUUGUCAGUUCUGUUGCUGGCGAAGAUGGACUUACCAUACACUUUAUAUGCUUGUGAGUGUAUACAUUAUACAUAAAUACAUACAAGCUACAGAGACAGACAGGCACGCAAACAGACGGAAACAGACAGACAGACAGACAAACAAACAGACAGACAGACAGACAAACAAACAGACGGAAAGACAGACAAAGACAGAUGGCCGGUUUGUUAAAAUUACGAGGCCCGACCUCAUGAAUACUCAUGGGCGUGUAUAUACACGGAAAUAAAUGCUUACACAUCUG